rnacentral:rRNA from 1 species
AGUGGAUGGGGAGCAACCUAGUUGUGCGUGUGUAAAGGUAGUGCCAAGAAAAGCGAUGAUCAUGUUGAAAAUCAAUUCCCGGUACCCGAAACCGACACAGGUGGGCAAGUAGAGAAUACUAAGGGGCGCGAGGUAACUCUCUCCAAGGAACUCGGCAAAAUGACCCCGUAACUUAGGGAGAAGGGGUGCCACCGAGAGGUGGUCGCAGUGAAGAGGCCCAGGCGACUGUUUAGCAAAAACAUAGGUCUCUGCAAACUCGAAAGAGGAGGUAUAGGGGCUGACGCCUGCCCAGUGCCGGAAGGUUAAAGAAGUUGGUCAGUUUUAGGAUGAAGCUAGCGACUGAAGCCCCGGUGAACGGCGGCCGUAACUAUAACGGUCCUAAGGUAGCGAAAUUCCUUGUCGGGUAAGUUCCGACCCGCACGAAAGGCGUAACGAUCUGGGCGCUGUCUCGGAGAGAGGCUCGGCGAAAUAGGAUUGUCUGUGAAGAUACGGACUACCUGCAUUUGGACAGAAAGACCCUAUGAAGCUUUACUAUAGCUUGGAAUUGUGUUCGGGCUUCCUGUGCGCAGGAUAGGUGGGAGGCGUAGAAGGUAUUCUUGUGGGGAUACUGGAGCCAACGGUGAGAUACCACUCUCAGGAGGCUAGAAUUCUAACUUAAUUAAGGACAGUUUCAGGUGGGUAGUUUGACUGGGGCGGUCGCCUCCAAAAGGUAACGGAGGCGUACAAAGGUUCCCUCAGACUGGUUGGAAAUCAGUCGAAGAGUGCAAAGGCAGAAGGGAGCUUGACUGCGAGAAGUACAGUUCGAGCAGGGUGGAAACACGGUCUUAGUGAUCCGACGGUGCUGUGUGGAAGGGCCGUCGCUCAACGGAUAAAAGUUACUCUAGGAUAACAGGCUGAUCUCCCCCAAGAGUUCACAUCGACGGGGAGGUUUGGCACCUCGAUGUCGGCUCAUCGCAACCUGGGGCGGAAGUACGUCCCAAGGGUUGGGCUGUUCGCCCAUUAAAGCGGUACGUGAGCUGGGUUCAGAACGUCGUGAGACAGUUCGGUCCAUAUCCGAUGUAGGCGUGAGAAUAUUGAGAGGAGCCUUCCUUAGUACGAGAGGACCGGGAAGGACGCACCGCUGGUGUACCUGUUAUGAUGCCAAUUGUAAACGCAGGGUAGCCAAGUGCGGAGAGGAUAACCGCUGAAAGCAUCUAAGUGGGAAGCCCACCUCAAGAUGAGUAUUCUGGUGUAAGGUCACGGGAAGACGACCCGUAAAUAGGCACGAGGUGGAAGUGCAGAGAUGUAUGAAGCCGAAGUGUACUAAUAGACCGUCGGCUUGACC